rnacentral:rRNA from 1 species
UACGAAGGGGGCUAGCGUUGCUCGGAAUUACUGGGCGUAAAGCGCACGUAGGCGGAUUGUUAAGUCGGGGGUGAAAUCCUGGAGCUCAACUCCAGAACUGCCUUCGAUACUGGCGAUCUCGAGUUCGGGAGAGGUGAGUGGAACUGCGAGUGUAGAGGUGAAAUUCGUAGAUAUUCGGAAGAACACCAGUGGCGAAGGCGGCUCACUGGUCCGGUACUGACGCUGAGGUGCGAAAGCGUGGGGAGCAAACAGG